GUCAGGGGGAUCGGGCAGGAGGCUCAGGAGCCCCGACAGGGUGACGGCCGUGGGCAGGGUUGGACAGGUGGCUCAGGCAGGGAGGCAGAGAAGCCGGCAGGGCGCUGGUCAGGGACAGACGGGAGGGCGAGCGAGAGCCGGCGAGGCAGCGGAGCCGAAAGCUCGUGGCUCUGUGUGGAGUUCUCCUUCAGUGAUUUUGCACAUCUACAGCUUCUGUGGUUGUGGGUGCAAAUCUCACAAGCAGAGAAAAUUGGUGUGUUCCUGUGCCUGAGGACAUCAUGUGGGAAGUGCAAAGCAGUUUUUGCUGGUCUACGGUUCAUUAAAAAAUAAAAAUAAAAUUAAAAAGCAGCUUGCCAUUAGUGGGUCAUCUGAUGCUGUAACUGUGUGCUGGUCCCCAGCUUCCAGUAUGUUGAAGGUGUAAGAGCAUUGGAAGAAACCUGAAGAGUUUUGGACAUCUGUCAGGAAACAAGUGGCCCCUGGGAGCUGGGCAGGAAGAACCCCUUGUUUCCAGAGAAGGAAUCACCUCAAGCUGUUCUAGACCUCCAGGAAUGAUAACUUUUAUUCUCCAUUUUAGACUGAGCUGAAAUAACCCUCUUUAAGGGAGUAUUUGGCCAGUAAUGCAGGCUUGCCUCUGAGGGCAAAUCCUCUGAAUGAGCUGCAGAUCACAACACCCAG